AUGGGACAUCUUAUGCUGUUACUGGUUCUGUGCCACUGUGUCACUCCUACAUCGGGACAAUCCAAUUUAACUCCAGCACAUUUGACUACAGCUAUGGUAACACCGAUCUUUACCACCACAACAGAAGUGCAGAUAAAUCUAUCAUCUCCAUCCAAUGUGGACAGUGUGUCUGCACUGAAAGGAGAGGAAAGCACUGAAUCCACUUUUACCAGUGACUCCACUUCAUCCAGUGUCAACAGUGAGUCUUCAUUUACAGGAGUGAUGAGCACUGAAUCCACUGUUACCAGUAACACCACUUCACCCAGUGUCAACAGUGAAUCUUCAUUUACAGGAGUGACGAGCAGUGAAUCCACUGUUACCAGUGACACCAGUAAGUAGAGACACAGCAAUGGUAUGGUGUUUUUGGGUGAUUGCUUUGAUUUUAGUAAAUGGUUGCUAUGGUGUUGCUAACUGGUUUCACACCUGAUUCUGUCUCAUAGCUUCACCCAGUGUCAACAGUGAAUCUUCAUUUACAGGAGUGACGAGCAGUGAAUCCACUGU
rnacentral:lncRNA from 1 species